UACGAGGGGGGGCAAGUGUUGUUCGGAAUCACUGGGCGUAAAGGGAGCGUAGGCGGGCUUUUAAGUUAGGUGUUUAAUCCCAGGGCCCAACCCUGGACCGGCACCUAAAACUGGGAGUCUUGAAUAGUGGAGAGGUCGGUGGAAUUGGGGGUGUAGCGGUGGAAUGCGUAGAGAUCCCCAAGAACACCAGUUGCGAAGGCGGCCGACUGGACACAUAUUGACGCUGAGGCUCGAAAGCAUGGGGAGCAAACAGG
rnacentral:rRNA from 1 species